CAUGGUCCAUUCUGUGUCCCCAGCCAUGCGGCGGGCUGCCAGGUGGGCCCCACUGCUAGUUGUGUGUGUGAGGUUCUCAACAACAAUAAGUAACUACAUGAUUCCCUCAACUACGGUGGAAAAAAUCCACAACAACAACAACAACAAAAUAGAUAGAGAUAUAUAAAACCAGCUAAGGCAAGACAUGGUUCUUGCCCACCGUCACGGUGGACUAGGAGCUGUGAAGAAGGCUGAGGAGUGGGCGAUCAGGGUACAGCCACUGUCCAAGUCUGGCUGCCACCUGCACACAACAUGGAGCCCUCUGGUCUCCCCUCAACAGGCAUUUGGAACCCAAAGGAGGGCUGGCCGCCAGCUCGCUACAUUCGCUUUGCUUCUCUUUGUUUUGCCUUACUCUGCUUUGCUUUGCUCUUCCUGGCAGUUUUGCUUUUCCAUCCCUCCUUUCCUCUGUUGUUUUUGCCCCGGCUUUGCUUUGUUUUGCCUCAGAUUGUUUUGCUGUUUCUUUCCUGGCAAUGCUUUGCAUUUCCUUGUGCUACGUUCCCUUGCUCUGCUUUGACUUGCUCAGCUUUGCCUUCCCUGGCCGUGCUUUGUUUUGCUUUACGGGGCCAUGCUUUCCUUUUUUUACCUUUGCCUUGCUCUCUUUUGCCUCACCUGCUCCUGCUCUCCUUUCCGUUUUCAGGCCAUGCUUACCUUUGUUUUGCUUUACUUUGUAUUCCUGGCACUGCUUUGCUGUUCCUUUUGCUACUUUCUUUUGUUCUGCUUUGCCUUGCCUGGCCAUGCUUUCCUUUGCCUUGCUUUGUUUUCCUGGCAUUGCUUUGCUUUUCCGUACCUCCUUUCCUCUGCUGUUCUUGCCCCUGCUUUGCUUUGCUUUGCCUCAGACUUCUUUGUUUUUCUUUCCUGGAAGUGAUUUGCUUUUUCUUUUUCUACAUUCCCUUGCUCUGCUUUGACUUGCUCAGCUUUGCUUUCCCUGGCCAUGCUUUCUUUUGCUUUGUCAGGUCAUGCUUUCCUUGGUUUAGCUUUAGUUUAUAGACCUGGCACAGGUCUAUAAACUGGCCUUGCUCUCACCCUCAGCUACAUUUAUAUCCAUUCACCACAAAUCUUUGGACCCAGCCACACAGCCAGUUUUUAACCCAUUGAAACAUAAUUCUUUCCAGGCCGUAAGCAGCCAGAUCCUCUGGAAGAAUGCUGUGGCAAAUCGUUUCAAAAGCCUUAUUGCAGUUUAGGCAGACCACAUCCACAGCCUUUCCCUUGU
rnacentral:lncRNA from 1 species